AUACGUAGGGGGCGAGCGUUGUCCGGAAUGAUUGGGCGUAAAGGGCGCGUAGGCGGCCCGGUAAGUCUGGAGUGAAAGUCCUGUUUUUAAGAUGGGAAUUGCUUUGGAUACUGUCGGGCUUGAGUGCAGGAGAGGUAAGUGGAAUUCCUAGUGUAGCGGUGAAAUGCGUAGAGAUUGGGAGGAACACCAGUGGCGAAGGCGACUUACUGGACUGUAACUGACGCUGAGGCGCGAAAGUGUGGGGAGCAAACAGGAUUAGAUACCCUGGUAGUCCACACUGUAAACGAUGAAUGCUAGGUGUAGGGGGUAUCGACCCCUUCUGUGCCGCAGUCAACACAAUAAGCAUUCCGCCUGGGGAGUACGGCCGCAAGGUUGAAACUCAAAUGAAUUGACGGGG
rnacentral:rRNA from 1 species